rnacentral:rRNA from 1 species
GACGAACGCUGGCGGCGUGCUUAACACAUGCAAGUCGAACGGACAGGCCCUGCUUUUGUGGGGUGCUCGAGUGGCGAACGGGUGAGUAACACGUGAGUAACCUGCCCUUGACUUUGGGAUAACUUCAGGAAACUGGGGCUAAUACCGGAUAGGAGCUCCUGCUGCAUGGUGGGGGUUGGAAAGUUUCGGCGGUUGGGGAUGGACUCGCGGCUUAUCAGCUUGUUGGUGGGGUAGUGGCUUACCAGGGCUUUGACGGGUAGCCGGCCUGAGAGGGUGACCGGCCACAUUGGGACUGAGGUACGGCCCAGACUCCUACGGGAGGCAGCAGUGGGGAAUAUUGCACAAUGGGCGGAAGCCUGAUGCAGCAACGCCGCGUGCGGGAUGACGGCCUUCGGGUUGUAAACCGCUUUCGCCUGUGACGAAGCGUGAGUGACGGUAAUUGGUAAAGAAGCACCGGCUAACUACGUG